rnacentral:rRNA from 1 species
UACGUAGGGUGCAAGCGUUGUCCGGAAUUAUUGGGCGUAAAGAGCUCGUAGGCGGCUCGUCGCGUCGGCUGUGAAAACCCGGGGCUCAACCUCGGGUCUGCAGUCGAUACGAGCAAACUAGAGUGUUGCAGGGGAGACUGGAAUUCCUGGUGUAGCGGUGAAAUGCGCAGAUAUCAGGAGGAACACCGGUGGCGAAGGCGGGUCUCUGGGCAACAACUGACGCUGAGGAGCGAAAGCGUGGGGAGCGAACAGG